AUGUGACCUCAAAUCAGGUAGGACUACCCGCUGAACUUAAGCAUAUCAAUAAGCGGAGGAAAAGAAACUAACAAGGAUUCCCCUAGUAACUGCGAGUGAAGCGGGAAAAGCUCAAAUUUAAAAUCUGGCGGUCUUUUGGCUGUCCGAGUUGUAAUCUAGAGAAGUGCUAUCCGCG
rnacentral:rRNA from 1 species